GGUGACUUGGCCGAGCGGUUAUGGCGCUAGUUUCAGGGGAAACCACUAUACUAGUUCGAAAGAGCGUGGGUUCGAAUCCCACAGUCAUCA
rnacentral:tRNA from 1 species